CUUAGAGGUGCGCGUGAUAGCACCCAAACCAUAGGAGAGCCAUGUCGAGCUCAUCAAAAAACCUUUUGAGUGACUUUGCAUGUGGUGCAGACAAUACAGCACACCAGAUGUCACAAAUGGUCUAACAUUGGAAGCACCCUCAGUCAGUCAAUCAUUGUUUGCGAAUUCAAUCACUAAAUAUGUC